rnacentral:rRNA from 1 species
ACUGCUCAGUAACACGUGGACAACCUACCCUUGGNUCCGGCAUAAUCCUGGGAAACUGGGAAUAAUUCCGGAUAGNUCACCGAUGCUGGAAUGCGCGGUGGCCGAAAGCUCCGGCGCCCGAGGAUGGGUCUGCGACCUAUCAGGGUUGUAGUGGGUGUAACGUACCUACUAGCCUACGACGGGUACGGGUUGUGAGAGCAAGAGCCCGGAGAUGGAUUCUGAGACGCGAAUCCAGGCCCUACGGGGUGCAGCAGGCGCGAAAACUUUACAAUGCGGGAAACCGUGAUAAGGGGAUCUCGAGUGCCAGCAUAUAAUGUUGGCUGUCCAGAUGCCUAAAAAGCAUCUGUUAGCAAGGGCCGGGCAAGACCGGUGCCAGCCGCCGCGGUAACACCGGCGGCCCGAGUGGUAACCGCUAUUAUUGAGUCUAAAGGGUCUGUAGCCGGCCAGGUAAGUCCCUUGGGAAAUCUGGCAGCUCAACUGUCAGGCUGCUAGGGGAUACUGUUUGGCUUGGGACCGGGAGAGGUGAGAGGUACCUUGGGGGUAGGGGUGAAAUCUUGUGAUCCUCGAGGGACCACCAGUGGCGAAGGCGUCUCACCAGAACGGGUCCGACGGUAAGGGACGAAAGCUAGGGGCACGAACCGGAUUAGAUACCCGGGUAGUCCUAGCCGUAAACGAUGCUCGCUAGGUGUCAGUCACGGUGCGACCGUGAUUGGUGCCGUAGGGAAGCCGUGAAGCGAGCCACCUGGGAAGUAUGGCCGCAAGGCUGAAACUUAAAGGAAUUGGCGGGGGAGCACUACAACGGGUGGAGCCUGCGGUUUAAUUGGAUUCAACGCCGGG